CUGCUUCACAUUACAUGGAGACGAAUUAAACAAGCUACUAUGGUACUCAGAAAACAUCUGCUAACAAAGUCAGAAGUAACGAUAAACAAACUUGAGUUCCCUUUGUGGUUGAUUUUCAUCCAGCUGCAUUUAAUUAUAAAAGAGCUAUCAAAGAAAGCUCCCCAUUAGCAGCAAAUUCAGAAUGACUUCAGAAGAAAAUCCCAGAGCCUCCAGUGAUAUCUCUCGAACAACUUUCUCAUCUCUGCAAGUGAUUGAGAAGAGCUGAAUGAGACCAGCUUAGCGAUCAUUUCUCCUGCUAGCUGCCAGAGUAAAAUGAAGAUGAUGUAUCCUUUCAGUACCUGUGAUUGCCCAUUUUCAAAGCACUCCUAUUGGUUGGACCUAUAAGAUCUACCAGACUCUCUCCUGCAGCUGAUCUCUGCCAUAUGCAUCGAUGUCAAUCAGGAAUACAAAGAUAACUCUAAAAAUUGCUGUGUGCAUUUUCUAAAGUGUAGCAUCUGCUGAUUUUGCUGAGAAAGUGAACAGAUUUGUUGUUACAAGCUUUUUUUUUUUUUUAAAUAGAGUCUUAUUCAUUUUGGUAUUUUCCACAAUGAAAUUAAAGAUGUGGUCAUUUAUGAAUACCUAAUUCUGGUUUACAUUGAUCAGGAACUUUUGCACUGAUGUAUCUAGCGAUGCACGGAGUCUGAGACUGAUGCUCUAGAUGAGCAAGACACACCUGAAUGUUAUUAUAACACAGCAAUGAUGUUUUUUUCUUUUUUUUUUUCAUAAAAAAAUAAAGAGAAAAGAACUGAAAAGCAUGUUCAUCCUAGUUCCCCUGAAGCUUCUUACACUGGCAAUAUUAGAUAUUCCAUGAACAGGUAACCUAUGUACUGAAGUUACAAGUGACAUUUUGUAAAUGUACCCAGAACUACAAGCAAUUACAAUAAAAGUCUAUUAACUCCAGUGAUAAUUAUGAACCCUCAAAGGAAUCUUCAUACACAGCAACGCACAAACAACCUGCAGUGUUCUGCUAUUGGAAGGUCUGGGUAACGGCAUGGAGUCCAACUUCCUAUUUCCUGCAGAAGACCAAAGCUAAGGCACUUUUUAAAAUAUUCAGCAUCCAUAAGGCAGAGUAACUGAGGAGACUGGGAUCUGGUGAACGGCACAAGGAAAAACCUCAGAUGGUCUCCCUGAGCCAGAGCAGCUUGUCAUCUCCAUGCUAAUCUCCCCAGCUCCUGCCUCGGCCCCUGGACCAGCAGCACUGCUUUCUUAUGUUUCCAGCAGCAAUCAAACUUGACAUUUCUCUACUACAUUGUGCUACAUUUCAGCCUGUAUUUCCAAAUGUUUGAUCCAAAAUUCAUUUAAGUCAAUGGAAGGAAUCUCAUCGCCUUGAAUGUGCUUCGAAUCUGGCAGCUUCUUUGCACCUGAGCACCAACGCUUGAUUCUUGCCUGCUAAACUUGUGGGGAAGUACAGCUUGCUACCAUUUUCACCACAAUGGAGCAACACUCACAGAGAAAAAAAAAUCACUAGUAAAGACAACAAUUAUAUUUGGGCCGUUCUUGGAACUUACUCCAUGUUCAAUGGUUUCUUUUGUGACUGACAUUUUGCUUUCUCCAAGAUAAUGUUCAAGAGGCACCAUCUGCAUCAGCUGAAGUUGCAUGGCCCCAGCCAUUUGCUCUGCCCCACGCCAAUAGCUGCAGCUGUGGGAGGAAACAGACUUAUACCACCAGUGCUACAGGGUCCUUGUGCAGCACAGAAACAAAGUGAAAGCUUGCAGAAGCACUGGGGAAGGAGGCAGCUCUGGGAGAUAACACGGUCGUGAUUAACAUCACCAUAAAUAGGGAUCAGCAAGACUUUUUUUUUCCCCCAUGCUCUCACGACACUCCUCCUCACUGGAAGUAGUAAUCUUGAAAAGUUUAGUUCUUGAUUCAGUAUUUCUAUUUUCUUCCAGCUGCCCUAUCUCUUGCUUCUCCCUCUAAUUCUCUCUGACUUCAAUGUUUUACUUUUCAAAAGUGCUGAAUCUAAGCCCAGUGCUUUGAAUGAUUUCCCUGACCCUGCAGUGCUGCAUACCAACACAGAUACAUAUCUCUUAGGUUUGCUUUUAUCUAUGCUAAUUUGGCUUCCUUCUCACAUUUGCAAGUAGAGAGCAGCUACAAGGUUUCCUGUGCAUUGCAAGCUACCAUUUACGUAAAUUUUAAGAAAAAUUAGUCUAGAGACUGCUUGUGCCUUCAUACACGUGCAGCAUAGCUUUCUGAUCUGCAUGCAUGUGCUUCAGCUUGUUCCUGACUGUCAGUGAGCUAAGGUUUCUAUAUAAACUGCUUCAUUAAGGCUAUGAGAAUGUAAUUAUCACUAGUGUACAGAAGGAAUGUAGGUUUUGCUCUCAUAGUUGCACGACAAGAGAAAGGAAAUAGAGGUGGAAGAAGCAUUCCUUUGUUUUCAGAAUUACUGUUUUAAAUAUAGGGCCACAGCACUUCUACCAUCACUCUAAACACUCUGCAAAGCGUAACAGUGACAGGCAAGUCAUAACCACAAAUGCCUUAAUCUAUCUACAAACAGAAUCCUCCAUAGAACAAAUCUGGUGGUUUCUGUACGUACAUGUUUUUUAAUUUUGGGGGUCAGACUAAGGAUAUGAAAUUAUUCCCCAAGAAAAACCACCUGCAGGAGGUGAGGAGACAGGGUGUAGCCAGAAUAGACUUCUGAUUCCAGCCAUACAGAGAAGAAAACUAGGCAUUAACUCUGAAACUGUCUAAUAACAGUUAUUAAGUUUAUAAUAAUUAGUAAAUUACCUUACUUGAAGAGGAACUUAUCUGACACGUGAUAUUUUCUGUAAGCAUAGAAUCAUAUAUUCCAUUGUGUGUAAAAAAAAAAAAAUACAUUAUACAAUAUGCAAGCAGCAAUGUAAGCAAGUGGCUUUUACAUAUGUAACUAUAGACGGAUCUCUACUUUUUUCCCUCAACAUUUUGUGCUACAAGUUUCUCAGCUUUACUAUCACUUUGGCUUCAUACUGAAAUUGCAAAUUAUAGACAUAAAAAUCCUUUGGUCCAAAAUGCAUCCAGCUUAAUCCUUCCUGGCCGUCGUCCCAUUAGGCAUAAGAACACAGUUUGAGAUCUGAGGCAGUGAAAAUCGAGAGCAUAGCAGCCACCACAAACACCUGGGUCAAGCAGCAGAGUUACUGCAAGUUGCAGCUGACUCACCUCUCCCAUCCAUGCCCAACCUAUCCUCAGCAGACACUGGAGCUGUGCUUGGGCUAUGUUUGAAAUAACAGGGAAAGGAGUUUCUAGCUAAACAUCUCCAGUUUGAUUAGAAGACGACCUGUAAUUGAGGGAAAUAAAGCAGUAUUAAACCAAACUAAAGUGAACAUUGGCACAUAACUAACACAGCAUUGUCAAAGACAUCUCAGAGUUUAAUUUUAGCAUGGAAAAUAUGGCAUCUCAGAUACCAUGAUAUGGGUGUUUGUUCACAGCCACUGUACCUGUCAACUAUUAUUAUACUGAUGCUGCCGUGUUCCCUGAACUGUUUUGAUUUCUCAACAAGAAGAGAAUUUUCUCUGAUGUGCCAUCUGUAAGGUACAGCUUAGCAAAGAAAAACUUUAUCUCCAAUUUUUAAUAAUUUUCAGUCAAUUCCAAUAAAAUCUGAUAUAUUUUUAUAAUACUUACAAAAUAAUAGCAAAUGUGACUCACCACAUGUGCCACUAUUUCAUUUGAUAUUCCUCUUCUCCCACUGACUUUUCUUUUGAGCACAGAAUGCAAUUUAAAUGUCAACUCGAACCAAAAAAGUUACAUUCCUGUGGAGAUUGCUGGUAUCUCAUGCAAUCUCAAAUAAUUGAACUGUUUUCCAGCCCUUUAACUACUUCCUUCUAUUUUAGCAUCUCAUCAUGCAGAAUCUAAAAAUAACAAAUGGUGGAAGGGACAGUCUAUCACAUCGUUUGUUUACAGACAUGUGAAAGGACAAAAUGGCCUUUUGUGCCUAAAAAGGUUCUCAGUGUAUCAUAGGGUUUGUCCAGUGUACGUAUAUUGAGUAUACCAGCACACGCUGAAGGAUUAUGAUGUCUCCAGCAAGGCCACUGCUAGCUGAAAUAAAGAAUACAAGCUAAGGGGCAAAAAUGGCAGGAAAAGAAAAAGUAAGAGGGAUAUUUAUCUUGUAUUUAACAUCCACUUGCUGAUCAUUUAUAGAUAGUAGGGAUGUCCAGGCCCAUGACACCUAUAAAACAAUAGAAGCAUCAAGGUUGUAAAAGACCACCAAGAUUAUCUGGUCUGACUAUACACCUGCCACCAGUAUUUCCUCACCAAAUCACGUCCCUUAGUACAACAUCUAAACACUUCUUGAACACCUCCAGGGAUGGUGACACAACCACCUCACUGGGCAGCCCAUUCCAGUAGGUUUACUUUGUUCUUUCAGGAGACCUCAUGUUUAGACAAUUCAUUAAAGAUAAAAUUCAUGAGGGUAUUUAGAGUCUUAGAUUUGAAUUUAGAAAUCACUGAAUCCAUACACAGAGGUAUCUGUACACUUCAGAAACUUGUCAGUGAUGGGUGUACAACAGCUAACAGGCACUGGUCCCACCAAUACUCAGGUCAGGCACACACAGUCAUGGCAUACACUUAAUUUUCAACUCCAUUUCACUAGGAUAGGCAGUAAACAGUGAUGCCAACCAACAAACCCACCUCAACGCUAGAGUUCAAAUCCCUUCAUUCAUUGGGUAAACAGAUACCUGCCUUUUCCACUUCCAUAAAAAGCAUCCACAAGGCCAGAUAGCUUUCAUGAUCUUUCUAGCCUAAGGAGUGCUUUUCCAUUUAUUUCCCAGGAAGAGUGCUGAGUGGCAUUCUCCACUCCUUGUAAUGUUGCAAAACAGACGUAGGAGAUAUGAGGAAAAUAGCUGUCCGUUGACAUCAGACAGACGUCACAAAGUUUAUAUUACAAAGACUAAGCCCUGUGAUUUAGCCAUAAUCUCCAAGUCUUAGUUGACUGAGCUAUAAUGUUGCUAUAACACUAGUGAUCACCCAUUUAUGAGGACAUACAUGCAAAAGAUUCAAAUGUUCAUUUUCUCCAUUACUGGUGUCAGAGAAAUAACUCAGACUGAGCUGCUUAAUGAGAAAUAAGGCAAAAAGGACUCAGGUAUUAAAACACACGAAGAGCUGACUCCUACUUCAUUUUGGAAGGUUGGAACUGUCCCAGUCUGAAGGCAAUUUAAGGAUAAUUCAUCCACUGCUGUCAGGUAACUGCUGCAGUAAAUAGGUUAGGAUAUCAUUAGUUCAUCUUUCUUCUGCUCCCACAGCAAAAUUCAUCUGCUGCAGGGAAUAGGGAAUGAUCCUGCAGGAAAGGCCUUUAGGUAACAUUUUGUAACUGCAUCUGAUUUUAGAUUUGACAAAGAUAGCUCUGCUUAGACCCUAAGUAGUCUCCAUCACUGUAUGCUGGGUCUGGAUUCUGAUCAGACUUGCACCAGUUUGGUGAAACUUCAGGAAGGAGUGCUGUCCUACAGCAAGAAAUUCCAUCUACAGCCAAUGAAUUUCAUUCACCUCUUCAACAACAACAGCAAAAAUAAAAAUAAAAAAUAAAAUAAAAUAAAAGAAAAAACAGAAACUGGCCAGAACGACAAUGGUGGAAGCACGCCCAACUCGCUAAUGCACCACUCUCAGCUUAGCAUCUCAACUGUUACAAUGAUCAUAUAAUCAGCAAAACCACACAACCAGCAAUAAAUCAAACACAGUGUAUUACUGUUAGGGAUAGGUCUGACAUCCCAUUGCAGCCUCUUCAAGUCUAACCGUGAAGAGGGCAGCCCUCCUGCAGCCCUGUGUACUGCAGGAUGCCCCAGAUCAGGGCUUUGUAGGGCUGCUCCUCCACAGGAGCAACUGAAGAGCAUCCUACACAGCUGCAUUUACCUCACAGAGGUGUUGGAGGCCAUAAUUAAUUACUGUUUGUACAACUCAUUGAGAUUGUUAGAGAAAGGCACUAGAGAGAGAGAGUGGUGUUAUAAAUUAUUACACUUGAAAACAUUCAAACUCCUCAGCUUUCCACUGCCUGCCUCCUCACCAACUUGAAGCAUUUCCUUUUCUCCUCCUGAAACUAAAUUUGCCCUCUUGACACGCACAAACCAUUAGAAAGACUGUAUUUACAAGCACCUAGCAGUAUUUUCUCAAGUUUAUUUUGACAUUGACUUUUAAUCAACUCGAUGAUGAUUGAAAAAGCUAGUUCAAUGUUUUGCUAAAGAGGAAUAUUAAAAGUACAUUGAUUGUGUCUACAAAGAUAUGCAAUUAAAAAGUAUGAGUCAAGUGCUGUUAUUUAACACUUGACUUUACUUGUUUUGAACUCUCAUGGCCCUGUUGUGUACACGGCUAAAUGUGCAAUGCUGUGUGUUUCAAGUAAAUCGGCUGUAAGCAAUUUUAUAUUUUAAUGAAAAUAAUUAUAGUUUGAGUAAUAUGAAGUGUAUCUGAAGUGUAACCCCCGAUGCUACUUCCUUAGAAUUAGCUGUGAUAUAAAUUAUCAUGAUUUAUUAUGGUUACUCUGUGCUUUACGUGUUUGCAGGGGAUCCUGGCUAGGAAUGAUGAUUCUUAACUAACAAAGAAUUGCAUUUCAAAAGCAAUUUUUUCUUGGAUCUCAUCUGUAAUUCUUCCACAAAAGUGAUAUGAUUUAACUGUGCUGCAGUAUGUGAUACUGCAAAGAUGGCAUUAUUGUGCUGUCAUUUUGACAGCUUACUUUAAUUUACACCAUUUAAUGGAUGAAUACAUUUAUUUUUUUUUAAAUCUGGUGUUACUCUUUCUUAAUAUACCAUAUGCCAUCGAUCCCACAUGCACUUCUUUGCAUAAGCACACUAAAUUAUAUAGUGGUAUAAAGCAAUGUAUGUGUCAUAUACAUCAUAUCUGUUGAGUGACACAUCAGAAGCUGAGGCCCUGUUUGCUCUUCAAGGGUACCAUGGAUCCUACGACAUUUCUGAGCCCCGAGCUAUGUUAUACAAUACCUUGUGCACUGAUUGGCAUCUGUCCACCUCAGAGAUAGGCACAUUUCAG
ensembl:lncRNA